GUAAACCCGAUGCAGGGGUAAAGUAACUGACAACAUUUUUUAGAGAGCCGGUGGGUGGUGUAAAUCGGUAAGUGUUGACGGUGAAGAGGCUCCCCGGAGGGGACCCGUUGAAAUAAGUAGUAGGCGGGUACGGAUAAUUCCGUUAUUUUAAUUAAGUGGAUCCCGAGGCCGGGUUGUAUUACGGCGUGCGGGUCAAUUUGGGUGGCACCGCGGGAAUAAACCUCUCGUCCCUGUA
rnacentral:ncRNA from 1 species